rnacentral:lncRNA from 13 species
GUCUUCAGAGCAGAACAAUGAUUGUGACUGACACCUCGACAGUUCCAUACAGCAGGUUCUUCAUCAAAAAGACAGAAGAGGAGCUCCUUAAAAAAGCAAACUGGCUGGUUGACUGACUGGCUAGCUGAUUGACUGACUGGCUGACUGAAUGGGACUCACAGCAGAGGAGGGCAGGCUGGUCUCUCCCUGUCCCAGAACAGUGGCAGUUGAGUGAUCACUAUCAAACACAAAAGGAUUAGCGGCUAAGGGUUCAUCUUGAGAUUCAGCCCCAGUCUCUCUGUGUGGAGAACAGACCCAGAUACAGACCCAGAUUCAGCCCUAGUCUCUCUGUGUGGAGGACAGACCCAGACCCAUAUUUAGCCCUAGUCUUUCUGUGUAGAGGGCUGACCCAGAUACAGACCCAGAAACAUAUUCAGCCCUAGUCUCUCUGUGUGGACAGACUGACCCAGAUACAGACACAUAUUCAGCCCUAGUCUCUCUGUGUGGAGGACAGACCCAGACCCAUAUGAGAACAGACCCAGACCCAUAUUUAGCCCUAGUCUCUCUGUGUAGAGGACUGACCCAGAUACAGACCNNNNNNNNNNGUCCUGGAGUGUAGUUAACUCAGAACGUCAUUUCACUCCUGUCCCGUCUGUCCAUUGGGUGUCCUAGACACGUCCUGGAGUGUAGUUAACUCAGAACGUCAUUUCACUCCUGUCCCGUCUGUCCAUUGGGUGUCCUAGACACGUCCUGGAGUGUAGUUAACUCAGAACGUCAUUUCACUCCUGUCCCGUCUGUCCAUUGGGUGUCCUAGACACGUCCUGGAGUGUAGUUAACUCAGAACGUCAUUUCACUCCUGUCCCGUCUGUCCAUUGGGUGUCCUAGACAAAUCCUGUUUAUUUUUACCUACCUCAUCCCCAUACUGUUUUUAUUUAUUUACUUUUCUGCUCUUUUGCACACCAAUAUCUCUACCUGUACAUGACCAUCUGAUCAUUUAUCACUCCAGUUAAUCUGCAAAAUUGUAAUUAUUUGCCUACCUCCUCAUGCCUUUUGCACACAAUGUAUAUAGACUCUCCUUUACAGACUCUCCUGUAUUAUUGACUUGUUAAUUGUUUACUCCAUGUGUAACUCUGUGUUGUCUGUUCACACUGCUAUGCCUUAUCUUGGCCAGGUCGCAGUUGCAAAUGAGAACUUGUUCUCAACUAGCCUACCUGGUUAAAUAAAGGUGUUCUCAACUAGCCUACCUGGUUAAAUAAAGGUGUUCUCAACUAGCCUACCUGGUUAAAUAAAGGUGUUCUCAACUAGCCUACCUGGUUAAAUAAAGGUGUUCUCAACUAGCCUACCUGGUUAAAUAAAGGUGUUCUCAACUAGCCUACCUGGUUAAAUAAAGGUGUUCUCAACUGGCCUACCUGGUUAAAUAAAGGUGUUCUCAACUAGCCUACCUGGUUAAAUAAAGGUGUUCUCAACUAGCCUACCUGGUUAAAUAAAGGUGUUCUCAACUAGCCUACCUGGUUAAAUAAAGGUGAAAUAAAUAAAUAAAAUAAAAUAACGUCCAAUCACAACUCAGUGUCUUCAGAGCAGAACAAUGAUUGUGACUGACACCUCGACAGUUCCAUACAGCAGGUUCUUCAUCAAAAAGACAGAAGAGGAGCUCCUUAAAAAAGCAAACUGGCUGGUUGACUGACUGGCUAGCUGAUUGACUGACUGGCUGACUGAAUG